AUCCAGCUGAUGAGUUCUGAAUAGGACGGAACGCGCAUCCUGGAU
rnacentral:hammerhead_ribozyme from 1 species